ACAUUGAUCAUUUCAGGUAAAUUUACUCUGUUGUGGUUAAAAACUGAAUGAAACUCUCUUUUUAGAACUUCUGACCCUAUCGGAAAAUAUUCAGACCUACAGAAACUUUUUGUUUUUUCACACUACCGAUAUUUCGUCUAAUAACACCACCGAGCUUUCACAGCCUUCUUUAUUUCUCCCAAAACCCUAAUCAUCUUCCCUACCUUCUACCCCGUUUUCUUCUACCACUCUAUCAUGGAUCUUAUGUGGUUUCUAUAUUUCUUCGAUUCGUCUUUUCUAAAUGGAAUUUAAUAUUAGGUGCCAUUAGCAUCCCUGUAAUAGCAAGUAUUGGAGCAGGUUAGCGAGAAUAUUUUUCAGAGGUCUUUAAGAAAACUAAUGCUUCAGCUUCCCUUUCUGCCAGAGUAUCUCACAGGAAGGAGUUUAUAUACAACAAAAACUUUUGUAUUUCAUUAUGAACCACUAUGUUGGCGGGUAAAGAAAGUGGUGUUUUUGAAACUCAUCCUUGCACUACAUCAUACAUAUAUACCUCUGACGAAAGAUUAAGACAUGAUUUUGAAGAAUCAGUUUGUUCAGGGGCUAACUGUUUUUUUCUCGGGAUACCACCAGUAUGGAAAUGCAAAGUCACGCGUAGCAUCUAUCCUACUAUGCUUGAUUUAUUUGGUUAUCGACAUGCUGGACAAACUGCAGGAGGUUAUGGUUUGUUUAUGGGCUAACUGUGCAUAUAGAAACAUAUGUUGAGCAUUACGGAUCUUCAAUAUCAUGAGUUCAAGGGAAUGUUUCGACCAAGUUAAAGAGGAGUUUAGUGGUCUCAUGUAGAUUUAAGAUGAAAGGGUUCCGCUUUUAUAUGAAGAUGACCGUUAGGAUUCCAUUGUCCAUUAAGUUGAUUAUGAAGAGCAUAAUGAGGGCUAUCCCUGGUUUAUACUUUACAAAUUGUGUAUACUUUUUUUUGAUCGUGAAACUGAUGUAUACUUUUCUGUCUUUUGAAUUUUACUAUGUUUAAU